rnacentral:lncRNA from 1 species
GGAAGUACUAUCCUAUCAAAGAAGUGGACCCAUGCUGCUUCUGAUUUGCAUUCCUGCUCCUCUUAUCUGGAGUUCCUAUCACCUGACUUGCUCCUCACUUUCUGUUGAGCCCCUAGGGAAUGACAUACCACAUUCCUUUUAAUUUUUAAUUAUAGGUUCAUCCUUAAUGCGUUUUUAACAUUUACUUACUUCCAGAUAUAUGUAUAAAACCACUCUGAUGUCUUACCUGGCAUCUUUUAAGUUUGUGACUUGCCAAAUGAACUCUCUUUUCUUAGUCUACUGUCUGAUUUUGGAGCACACAAGUCUCUUUUGUUCUAUCAAUAAAAUAUGGCUCUUGCCUAUUUUGGAAGUCAAAGGAUGAACAGAGAUUUGCAUCCUCAGUGGAGUUCUGGCCUCUGCCUGAAGCAAUGACUGUCUCAGCCCUAUGUUGGAGGGUGUAAGGAACAAUGAUUAAACUUCGGAAUUCUCCAGAGAAUAAGAUACAUU